CAAGUCGAACGGCAGCACGGAGAGCUUGCUCUCUGGUGGCGAGUGGCGAACGGGUGAGUAAUAUAUCGGAACGUAUCCAAUAAUGGGGGAUAACGAGUCGAAAGAUUCGCUAAUACCGCAUACGCCCUACGGGGGAAAGCAGGGGAUCGUAAGACCUUGCGUUAAUGGAGCGGCCGAUAUCUGAUUAGCUUGUUGGUGAGGUAAAGGCUCACCAAGGCGACGAUCAGUAGCUGGUUUGAGAGAACGACCAGCCACACUGGAACUGAGACACGGUCCAGACUCCUACGGGAGGCAGCAGUGGGGAAUUUUGGACAAUGGGGGCAACCCUGAUCCAGCCAUUCCGCGUGAGUGAAGAAGGCCUUCGGGUUGUAAAGCUCUUUCGCAAGGGAAGAAAACUUAUGAUCGAAUAAAUCAUGAGGUUGACGGUACCUUGAUAAGAAGCACCGGCUAACUACGUGCCAGCAGCCGCGGUAAUACGUAGGGUGCGAGCGUUAAUCGGAAUUACUGGGCGUAAAGCGUGCGCAGGCGGUUUUGUAAGUCGGAUGUGAAAUCCCCGGGCUCAACCUGGGAACUGCGUUCGAAACUGCAAGGCUAGAGUGUGUCAGAGGGGGGUAGAAUUCCACGUGUAGCAGUGAAAUGCGUAGAGAUGUGGAGGAAUACCAAUGGCGAAGGCAGCCCCCUGGGAUAACACUGACGCUCAUGCACGAAAGCGUGGGGAGCAAACAGGAUUAGAUACCUGGUAGUCCACGCCCUAAACGAUGUCAACUAGUUGUUGGUAGAGUAAAAUCUAUGAGUAACGUAGCUAACGCGUGAAGUUGACCGCCUGGGGAGUACGGUCGCAAGAUUAAAACUCAAAGGAGUUGACGG
rnacentral:rRNA from 1 species